rnacentral:rRNA from 1 species
CUCUGUGACUCCUACGGGAGGCAGCAGUGGGGAAUAUUGCACAAGUGGGGGAAACCCUGAUGCAGCCAUGCCGCGUGUGUGAAGAAGGCCUUCGGGUUGUAAAGCACUUUCAGUAGGGAGGAAGGUAGUGUAGUUAACACCUGCACUAUUUGACGUUACCUACAGAAGAAGCACCGGCUAACUCCGUGCCAGCAGCCGCGGUAAUACGGAGGGUGCGAGCGUUAAUCGGAAUUACUGGGCGUAAAGCGCAUGCAGGCGGCCUGUUAAGUCAGAUGUGAAAGCCCCGGGGCUUAACCUCGGAAUUGCAUUUGAAACUGGCAGGCUAGAGUCUUGUAGAGGGGGUAGAAUUUCAGGUGUAGCGGUGAAAUGCGUAGAGAUCUGAAGGAAUACCAGUGGCGAAGGCGGCCCCCUGGACAAAGACUGACGCUCAGAUGCGAAAGCGUGGGGAGCAAACAGGAUUAGAUACCCUGGUAG